UACGUAGGGGGCAAGCGUUGUCCGGAUUCAUUGGGCGUAAAGAGCGUGUAGGCGGCCAGGUAGGUCGGUUGUGAAAACUGGAGGCUCAACCUUCAGACGUCGACCGAAACCAUCUGGCUAGAGUCCGGGAGAGGAGAGUGGAAUUCCUGGUGUAGCGGUGAAAUGCGCAGAUAUCAGGAAGAACACCCGUGGCGAAAGCGGCUCUCUGGAACGGUACUGACGCUGAGGAGCGAAAGCGUGGGGAGCAAACAGG
rnacentral:rRNA from 1 species